CGUUUGGUAGUUAACAUCGACAUGUCGUUGGUGACUACCGAGUUGUACUUCAUUAACGUAGCGUUUCGCCGUGCCCACACCGAAAUACUACGUUUUUUU
rfam:Lactobacillus plantarum WCFS1 complete genome